rnacentral:rRNA from 1 species
GCGGCCUAUCAGCUUGUUGGUGAGGUAGUGGCUCACCAAGGCGACGACGGGUAGCCGGCCUGAGAGGGCGACCGGCCACACUGGGACUGAGACACGGCCCAGACUCCUACGGGAGGCAGCAGUGGGGAAUAUUGCACAGUGGGCGAAAGCCUGAUGCAGCGACGCCGCGUGAGGGAUGAAGGCCUUCGGGUUGUAAACCUCUUUCGGUAGGGAAGAAGCGAAAGUGACGGUACCUACAGAAGAAGCACCGGCUAACUACGUGCCAGCAGCCGCGGUAAUACGUAGGGUGCGAGCGUUGUCCGGAAUUAUUGGGCGUAAAGAGCUUGUAGGCGGUUUGUCGCGUCUGCUGUGAAAAUCCGGGGCUCAACCCCGGACUUGCAGUGGGUACGGGCAGACUAGAGUGUGGUAGGGGAGACUGGAAUUCCU